UUCCCUGAACCGAAACAUAAGGUCGUGACCGUUGGGUCCGGAUCAACCCCGAAAUACCCCAAACCAUCAUCCGUUUCUCAACUGGACUCCCCUACCUAUUAUCUCGAUUGUUGGAUCUAAAUCGAAGGGUCCAAAACAUUCCCCUCUAACCCACCAACCUAUUUAAGCAUCAUAACCCUAGACUAGUCCCCAGAAAUGUGAUUGUCCCAUCUGCAAUGCCGCCACCACUCUUCUCUCUCCAUCGG
rnacentral:lncRNA from 1 species